AUGUUCUCGAUUUAACCAUGCUUAUGGUAAAAAUAAAAACAGAGAAUGUGUAAUCUUUACUACCGUGCAUUUAUAUCCAUAACUCACUCCCAUUGGAGGACGCCAUUUUGUACAUUGAUUUAGUAACGAAGACAGUAGCUAUUUGGAAGCAAACUAGAAAAAUAAUCGAAAAUAUUUAACAAUACAACAACAAAUUUAUGGUGAUUUGUUUUCCAGUUCAUGAACCAAUAGUUUUAAGAUCGAGCUGAGAAGUUGCUGUUGGAUGCAUUUCGUUUUCUUUAUUUUUGAAUGCAUGUUGCAGAAAUCCCUCGGAUCGAUUUUUAUGCUCUGGCAUCUUCAUUGAAUUAUCCACCAAGAAGGCAACGUAAGAUCAGCGUUAACCAGCGUUCUUCCUGAUUUAACAUCGCUUCUGCAAGCUGACGGAAAACGCAUUCAUCGAGCCGGGAAUAGCGCUCUUCAAGGCAGACCAUAUUCAUCAUCGUAUCAGUCUGAACAUGACAACCAGUCACUGUACAUGAAGGUCAGCCAAGAGUCAUGCCGGCGACCAUGGAUGGUCAACUGCCUUCAGUGGUAUCCGGAUCAUCUCCAAAACCUGGAUCAGCAUUCUAUGGAAUGGAACUUCAAAACUGACAAAACGCAAAUUUUAUUUACGCAAAAUGUAUAUUUAUUUGCGUAUACUCAUUAUUUAUUUAGAAUUGAAAUUUGUACAAAUUACCAAUGAUAAGUUCAAAUUAAUUAUUAUUUUACACAAAUUUACAAUUCUGUAUGCAUCAUGCGUGGACCUCGGCAUCGCACUUGAUAAUAUUCAAUAAAAGAAGCGUCCAGUUGAACCUA